rnacentral:rRNA from 1 species
GGGGGGGGGGGGGGGGGGGGGGAGGGGGGGGGGGGCGGGCGGGGGGGGCCUGGUGUGGUGGGGGGCUCGAGGGGGGAACGGGUGGGUAACACGUGAGUAACCUGCCCUUGACUUGGGGAUAACUUCAGGAAACUGGGGCUAAUACCGGAUAGGAGCUCCUGCUGCAUGGUGGGGGUUGGAAAGUUUCGGCGGUUGGGGAUGGACUCGCGGCUUAUCAGCUUGUUGGUGGGGUAGUGGCUUACCAAGGCUUUGACGGGUAGCCGGCCUGAGAGGGUGACCGGCCACAUUGGGACUGAGAUACGGCCCAGACUCCUACGGGAGGCAGCAGUGGGGAAUAUUGCACAAUGGGCGGAAGCCUGAUGCAGCAACGCCGCGUGCGGGAUGACGGCCUUCGGGUUGUAAACCGCUUUCGCCUGUGACGAAGCGUGAGUGACGGUAAUGGGUAAAGAAGCACCGGCUAACUACGUG